rnacentral:rRNA from 1 species
AUAGAGACUCAGAGCUGCAUAUCAAUAAGCGGAGGAAAAGAAACUAACAAGGAUUCCCCUAGUAACGGCGAGUGAAGCGGGAAGAGCUCAAAUUUGAAAUCUUCAAGGUUCUACCUUGACGAAUUGUAGUUUAAAGAAGUGUUUUCUGUUAGUGGAGUGGCAAAAGUUCUUUGGAAUAGGACAUCAUAGAGGGUGAGAAUCCCGUAUUUGGUCAUUCUUUCUAGCUUUGUGAUACACUUUCAACGAGUCGGGUUGUUUGGGAAUGCAGUCCAAAAUGGGUGGUAAAUUUCAUCUAAAGCUAAAUAUUGGCGAGAGACCGAUAGCGAACAAGUACCGUGAGGGAAAGAUGAAAAGAACUUUGAAAAGAGAGUUAAACAGUACGUGAAAUUGUCAAAAGGGAAGCGUUUGACACCAGUGUUGUUUUCUCGAAAAUCAAUUAAGAAGUGUUUGAUUUUGAGAAUUGUUAAGACCUUAUCAGGCUUAGCUGUACUUUUUUCCUGAACUCUUUUAAUGCACUUUUCGGUUAACAAGUCAACAUCAAUUUCUUUUGUUGUAAAAGGGUAUGAGGAAGGUGGCUUUCUUUUCGGAGAAAGUGUUUAUAGUCUUGUGCCUCUGCAAUCGGAGAGAUUGAGGUCUGCAGCGUAGAUCCUUCGGGGUUAGAUACAUUUGUGCUAAGUUAUAGUUUUUCAUAGACAACUUGUUGACUAUGAUUGAUCAUGUAGCUUACUCGCUUAUGCUAUUUUACCUACGCUUAGGAUGUUGAUACGCUCACAGAGUCUC